rnacentral:rRNA from 1 species
UACGGGGGGGGCAAGCGUUGUCCGGAAUUAUUGGGCGUAAAGAGCUCGUAGGCGGCCUGUUGCGUCGGCUGUGAAAACCCGGGGCUCAACCCCGGGCCUGCAGUCGAUACGGGCAGGCUAGAGUCCGGUAGGGGAGACUGGAAUUCCUGGUGUAGCGGUGAAAUGCGCAGAUAUCAGGAGGAACACCGGUGGCGAAGGCGGGUCUCUGGGCCGGAACUGACGCUAAGGAGCGAAAGCGUGGGGAGCGAACAGG